GCCCUGAUAGUAUAAACAUUACA
rnacentral:tRNA from 1 species